GAUGAACGCUGGCGGCGUGCCUAAUACAUGCAAGUCGAGCGAACGGACGAGAAGCUUGCUUCUCUGAUGUUAGCGGCGGACGGGUGAGUAACACGUGGAUAACCUACCUAUAAGACUGGGAUAACUUCGGGAAACCGGAGCUAAUACCGGAUAAUAUUUUGAACCGCAUGGUUCAAAAGUAAAAGACGGUCUUGCUGUCACUUAUAGAUGGAUCCGCGCUGCAUUAGCUAGUUGGUAAGGUAACGGCUUACCAAGGCAACGAUGCAUAGCCGACCUGAGAGGGUGAUCGGCCACACUGGAACUGAGACACGGUCCAGACUCCUACGGGAGGCAGCAGUAGGGAAUCUUCCGCAAUGGGCGAAAGCCUGACGGAGCAACGCCGCGUGAGUGAUGAAGGUCUUCGGAUCGUAAAACUCUGUUAUUAGGGAAGAACAUAUGUGUAAGUAACUGUGCACAUCUUGACGGUACCUACUCAGAAAGCCACGGCUAACUACGUG
rnacentral:rRNA from 1 species